rnacentral:lncRNA from 1 species
UAAGUACAUAAAUAAAUAAACAAAUAAAUAAACAAAUUUAAAUGACAAAAAUAGUUCACAAAUAAAAACAAUUUAACUUUAAUCUUUUUUUUUUUUUUUACACAGGAGCAUGUAACAGAAUUUCUAAAAAAUAAAAAUGAGGAAAAUGUUCUUCGUAUGGCAAAAGAGCUUUUAUUAAAAUAUAAAUUUAUGGAACAUACAUUUGUAACUAGACAAAUGAAUACGGAAAAAAAAAUACCUGAAUUAAAGGCUGCUUUAAAAGUUGUAAACACGCUCAGCAAAAGAAAGGAAAUGGAUGAAGGUAAAAGCUUGGAACAGUAUUUCCCUUUAGAAGAAUCUUUAUAUGCUAAAGGAGCUAAUGUAAUGGUUGAAUUCUCAUUUAAUGAAGCUAUCAAUCUUUUGAAUCAACAUUUGGAUAGAGCUAUAAAUUUACAUGAGGAAAUGGUAAUUUUUUUUUAACAUAUUUAUUAUGAAUUGAUAAAAAAAAACAAAAAAAACAAAAAUUAUAUUACAUAUAACA